GGCAAUGGGCGAAAGCCUGACCCAGCAACGCCGCGUGAGGGAUGAAGUAUUUCGGUAUGUAAACCUCGAAAGAAUGGGAAGAAUAAAUGACGGUACCAUUUAUAAGCUCCGGCUAACUACGUGCCAGCAGCCGCGGUAAUACGUAGGGAGCAAGCGUUGUUCGGAUUUACUGGGCGUAACGGGCGCGUAGGCGGCGCGGUAAGUCACUUGUGAAAUCUCUGAGAUUAACUCAGAACGGCCAAGUGAUACUGCUGUGCUAGAGUGCUGAAGAGGCAACAGGAAUUCUUGGUGUAGCGGUGAAAUGCGUAGAUAUCAAGAGGAACACCGGAGGCGAAGGCGGGUUGCUGGGCCGACACUGACGCUGAUGCGCGAAAGCCAGGGGAGCAAACG
rnacentral:rRNA from 1 species